AUUGAACGCUGGCGGCAGGCCUAACACAUGCAAGUCGAGCGGAUGAAGGGAGCUUGCUCCUGGAUUCAGCGGCGGACGGGUGAGUAAUGCCUAGGAAUCUGCCUGGUAGUGGGGGAUAACGUCCGGAAACGGGCGCUAAUACCGCAUAUGUCCUGAGGGAGAAAGUGGGGGAUCUUCGGACCUCACGCUAUCAGAUGAGCCUAGGUCGGAUUAGCUAGUUGGUGGGGUAAAGGCCUACCAAGGCGACGAUCCGUAACUGGUCUGAGAGGAUGAUCAGUCACACUGGAACUGAGAAACGGUCCAGACUCCUACGGGAGGCAGCAGUGGGGAAUAUUGGACAAUGGGCGAAAGCCUGAUCCAGCCAUGCCGCGUGUGUGAAGAAGGUCUUCGGAUUGUAAAGCACUUUAAGUUGGGAGGAAGGGCAGUAAGUUAAUACCUUGCUGUUUUGACGUUACCAACAGAAUAAGCACCGGCUAACUUCGUG
rnacentral:rRNA from 1 species